AUGUGUUCCCUGUAUGCUUUAUUGAUAACAAUGGUCGUGCUACUCGGAACGAGUGGCCAAGAUUCAGUUUCCCAGGAUCCGCUUGAAUUAACGUUUCAGGAAGGACAGACCGUAAUAUUGAACUGCAAUUACACAACAAAAUACCCUUCAACAACUCUCUUCUGGUACAUCCAGUAUCCAGGGGAAGCUCCGAGAUAUUUACUGAAGAAAUACGGCAUGGGGAAGGGGGAUAAGUCUCCAGAUUUCCCUGACAGGUUUUCUGCUGAUUUGGAUCAGGACAAGAAAACCGUUCCUUUAAAUAUCGACGGGGCUCGUGUGUCUGACUCUGCCGUGUAUUUCUGUGCAUUAACUCCGUUAAAGGACCAAAAUUCGCUUGAAUGUCUAUUUUGUUAUUAUUCUCGAGUACACAGACUUAGUUAG